rnacentral:lncRNA from 1 species
UUAUUCUGCUAAAAGAAAAAUCUCCCAGGUCAGAAGACGGGAGAGAAGUGCCGAAAUGCUUCAUGUUCACCAGAGCCUUCUGGUUCUACCACCCACCCUGGCCAGCUGCUCAGCUGCAGCCUCCUCUGUUUGUAUUGUGGGCGUGGAAUCAUCUGCUCUGUUUCAUCCGUCAAUACACCUCCAUCUGCUUUUAAUCUAAUUUUAAUUUUUUAUGAUUAUGAAAUGAUUUAAAUAGACAAAAAUUAUUAGGACAACCGGGUACCCACCACCCAGAUUUAACACAUGUUAACAUUUUGCCAUAGGUACUUUAGGUUCCAUUUACUUUCCAUUGUUUGGAAAUGGGUUCAACUCUUUCCACUACCGAUGUUCCUUAUCCUGUUUCUUUCUCCAUUAUGUGCUUGUGAUUCGAAAAGAAAUAACUGCAUUACUAUUAGGUUUUAAGAGAGAUGAGAAGCAGAGAUAUGUACUUAGUUUGCCAUCUUAAACUGGUAGCCUAGCCAGAUCUUUACUGUAAUAAUUUAAAAGACUUUGAUCUAGCCUGGUAUUUGUCAGUUUACUUUCAAUAGGAACUUGGCGGAAUAGAAAGUAAUCAGAUUUCACUGCAAAUACUGAAGUUUUGUUUUUCCUUUCAGCCAUUCAACCUAUUAUGUUAAGUUCCUACUAUGUGCUCAGCACUUAAAUAAAAUCUUUGGGGGAAAUACAAAAGAAGCUAAAAAUACGGUUUUUGCCAAAGAGUUAGGAAGACAAAAUUAAUGGACAUGCUGAUCUUUAAAGGUUAGAUAUGUAACUUCCAGCUGUGUGAUGCUUUAAAGUUUAUAAAUUGCUUUGCCAAGGCUCCUCAUUUGAUCUCUAAAACAACUAAGUGAGUGAGGCAUGGAUCAUGUUAUGAGUCUAUUUUAGAGAGAAAAGAAAUUAGUGUUGAGCAUAGGCAGAGGGAAGGCUGUAUGAUGAGGCUGUCCUUGGCCUGGAAUUUGAUGUGUAUGCAGUGUCCAGGUGAUGGAGAAUUGGAGGGUGUCCCCAACUGCUAUCUUUUUCACUGCCUCAUAAUGAAUUUCCUUUCUUAGCAUGAAAAGAAAAGAGGCAGGGCAGGUGACUCAUGUCUGUAAUCCCAGCACUUUGGGAGACUGAGGAGGGCAGAUCACUUGAGCCUAGGAGUUCAAGACCAUCCUUGGCAACACAGUGAGACCUCACCUCUAUAUAAAUUACACAACUUAACUGGGCAUGGUGGCACAUGCCUAUAGUUCCAGCUGCUUGGGAGACUGAGGUGGAAGGAUCAGUUGAGCCCAGGCUCACAGCACUGCACUCCAGCUUGGGCAACAGAGCAAAAUCCUGUCUCAAAAAACAGAAAGAAAGAGAAGAAAGAGAGAAAGAAAGAAAGAAAGAAAGAAAGAAAGAAA